GCCCUCUCCUGUCACUGAGAAGAAUCAGCCACAGCUGAGAGCUGGCUUCAUGGACGUCUGUUGAGGACCUACACUUCCAGGUGCUGGAAGAUGCAGAGGGGCUAACCCUGUCGCGUUUGGUUCACAACUCUUCUUCUGAGAGAAGAAGAGAUUAGGACACAGACAUGCACAGAGGGAGCAUCAUGGAGGCCACACAAGGAGGACAACUGUCGGCAAGCCAGGAGAGAGGCCUCAGGGGAAGGCCACCCUGCUGACACCUUGACCACGGACUUCCAUAUCCAGAACCAGGUGAAAAUACGUUUCUGCUGUUGGGGCCACUCAGUCUGUGGAACAUUCUUUUGGGGGUCCUAGCUGUUAAACACGUGCUCUGAAUGAAGAAACCCCCCCAAACAGGCUUUGUGUGAGCAACAUGCUGUUUAUUCACCUGGGUGUGGGCGGACUGAGUUUGAAAAGAGAGUCAGCGGAGGAGGGCGGUGGGAUAGGAAUUGGUUUCAUAGGUUUCGGGUAGAUAGGUUUCGGGUAGGCAGUGGAAAGUUACAGAAGUUACAGUUAAGGGUGGCUUUUGCAAGUUGGGAGGGGGUUGUAGGGUCUAGAGUCAGGAGGUUGACCAAGGUUGGUUACAAAGUCCAGUUGCCUUAUCAGUUGAGGUGGGAAUAAGGAACAAUGGAAGAAUGACUCAAAAUUAAUUAGGUGCCACAGGGGUUGAUCGUUCUUCUUUUUGUGGUCUUCCACUUACUUCAGACUUUCUAGUUCCAGGAACUCAUCCGGAGCGUGCGUGCAGGUCACAGAGGUUACCAUGGCGCAGUCCAUGGUACGGUAAGCCUAAAAGACCUUACACUAGCAGACUCUUAUGAUAUUAUGAGUGUAUUCGUUAUCUACGCUAUGUAAGAAAUAGCCACUAAUGCAUUGGGAUUAAACAACGUACAUUCAUUAUCUCACAGGGCUGGCCUCAGUCUGCUCCCAUU